rnacentral:rRNA from 1 species
UACAGAGGUCUCAAGCGUUGUUCGGAUUCAUUGGGCGUAAAGGGUGUGUAGGCGGCGCGGUAAGUCGGGUGUGAAAUCUUGGAGCUUAACUCCGAAACUGCAUUCGAUACUGCCGUGCUUGAGGACUGGAGAGGAGACUGGAAUUUACGGUGUAGCGGUGAAAUGCGUAGAUAUCGUAAGGAAGACCAGUGGCGAAGGCGGGUCUCUGGACAGUUCCUGACGGCUGGAGGCACGAAGGCCAGGGGAGCAAACGGG